rnacentral:rRNA from 1 species
AUUGAACGCUGGCGGCAUGCCUUACACAUGCAAGUCGAACGGUAGAGGGGCAACCCUUGAGAGUGGCGAACGGGUGAGUAGCGUAUAGGAACAUGAACGAUCGGGGGGGAAAACGGAGCGACAGUUACGCUAAUACCGCCUACGAUCUGAGGAUGAAAGCUGGGGAACGAAAGGACUCGCCAGAGCGGAGGGGCGGAUAGCAGAUUAGGUAGUUGGUGGGGUCAAGGCCUACCAAGCCGACGAUCGGUAGAUGGUCUGAGAGGACGACAAGCCACCCGGGGACUGCGACACGGCCCAGACUCCUACGGGAGGCAGCAGUGGGGAAUUUUGGACAAUGGGCGCAAGCCUGAUCCAGCAAUGCCGCGUGCAGUACGAAGGCCUUCGGGUUGUAAACUGCUUUUGUACGGAGCGAAAAGGUCUACUCUAAUACAGUGGGCUGAUGACGGUACCGUAAGAAUAAGCACCGGCUAACUACGUGCCAGCAGCCGCGGUAA